rnacentral:lncRNA from 1 species
CCUAGACCAAAGAACCCCACCUCUAGGCAACAAUCCCCAACUCUCUGGUUAGAAGAGAUAUCUUCGCUCCUCUGAAUUCCCACAGCCCUUCGUCUGUACCUCCUUUAUCAUGUCAAUGCCUUUCUAUUUUGUAUUGCAGAUAUUUAUGGAUUGCCCAAUUUCCUCAUUGGAUGAUUGACUCCUUGAGGGUGCAGUCUCUAUUCAUUCAUGAGCACCUACUAGGAGCCAGGCACAGUUCUAGUCAUUGCCUAUAUAGCAAUGCACAAUACAGACGAGUCCCUGUCCCCAUGGAGGGACAUUUUCCUUUGGGAAGACAGCCUUCCACUUCAGCCACAUCAGCCACAGCAGACAAUGACCACAACCUUCAACACUGAGGCAGGCAGACAUAGAAGAAGCUGUGGACGUUAGUGACCUGCCUGCCCUGAUGGAUUCAGAGGACGAUGAGAUGUUAAUAGAUGACCCUCUUCUCUCUCCCACACCCCGGUCUCCUGCAUGUCUUACCACCUCAACGUCUGACAACUCAGCCUAACACACCGUCAUCACCACCACCACCUCUCAGCCUUCCAGUGUGCUUGCUGUCUUCCCAAUUCUGGUUGACAAAUAGCAUCAGAAAGUGGGAUCUGAAGCGAUCUCAUCUUUGUGGGCUGGCGUCCCCUGGAAACAUGUUUGCUAUCAAGGGGAGCCCCUUUGUGUGCUCAGCUGCUCCUGCCGACAGCUGACUCCUCAAAUCAUGGGACCCCUCCGCUGGGACCAACUUCCCUUUGGUUGAGGUCAGUGCCUUUCUUUCGGAUUCUGGGGCCGUAGCCUCAUCUGGAGUUGACUGACCUGCAGACAAUUGUCUCCAAGCCAACUCAUGGCUUUUGCCAUCUGGAAAAGUUUCCCUAUUUGGGCCACCUUAAGGCAGCUCAUGGUUAUUCCUGUCUGGAAGGGUUUCUCUGAGCUGGCUACGGCUGUUGCCCUCUGAGGGUUUAUUCCCUGGCUGGUGAGUACUCAUGUUCUGUCUUUUGUGUUGUUUGUCAAAACAGCUAGAGCUUGUGGGUCAGAAGCCCAAGUAAUAACCUGGCAACUGCUGUCUUAUUGUCCAGUUGUACUUUAACAUUGGAAUUUCAUCUUCUGAAAGUUCCCAAGAAGUUUCUCCCUGGGGAACUCCAGCUGGGUUUAUACUUAAGAACCAUGGUCCUUCCUCUUGUAAAUUUUUGUCCCAGUGGACUAAUAAUACUAAAGAUAAUUUAAAAUUACUGUGGCCACUUUGGGGCCCUUUAGAGCUUCCAAAACUUGUCUUUUUGUGCACUGGAUUUGAGAACUACAGACCAGACAAAUUAAAUACAAUCUUUAAUUUCUAAAGAAUCAAGCAAUCCAUAUUCUGGCACACCUGCUUAAAAAGUAUGGCUCCAGAAGCUGUAAAUAUUUACAAAGAACAGCAAAAUCCUACUAAGCUUGUUUUGUAUCCUGACAGCUUGACAUGGUAGCCAUCAGGUUGGGGGCAAAAUAAGGUCAGACAGAAACGUGGGUUUCACCCUGUUUGCAGCCAGGGUGCCAGCAAACUGCUGCCAGCUCUUAGGGAAAUAACAAUUGUUAUUAGAAGGAAAGUUCCAAUUAGAUAAGAUCAUUUAAGAAGUGUGCUUCAGGGGCCAGCCCCGUGGCUGAGUAGUUAAGUUCCUGCGCUCUG